UCUCCGUUGGUGAGCCAGCGGAGGGAUCAUUACAGGGUUUUCACAACUCCCAACCCUUGCGAACCGUACCCAUUCUGUUCUCGUUGCUUCCGGCGGGGGGGACGGGGGGGCCCGAAACGGCCUCCCCGCCCCGCCCGCCGGGGGCGGCGGGCCCUACGAACCUUUAUAUCUCAACCACCAGAAACCGUCUGAGAGAACAAACAAAAUAAUCAAAACUUUCAACAACGGAUCUCUUGGCUCUG
rnacentral:misc_RNA from 1 species